AGUCGAGCGGAUGAGGGAGCUUGCUCCUGGAUUCAGCGGCGGACGGGUGAGUAAUGCUUAGGAAUCUGCCUAUUAGUGGGGGACAACAGUUGGAAACGACUGCUAAUACCGCAUACGCCCUACGGGGGAAAGGAGGGGAUCUUCGGACCUUUCGCUAAUAGAUGAGCCUAAGUCAGAUUAGCUAGUUGGUGGGGUAAAGGCCUACCAAGGCGACGAUCUGUAGCGGGUCUGAGAGGAUGAUCCGCCACACUGGGACUGAGACACGGCCCAGACUCCUACGGGAGGCAGCAGUGGGGAAUAUUGGACAAUGGGGGCAACCCUGAUCCAGCCAUGCCGCGUGUGUGAAGAAGGCCUUUUGGUUGUAAAGCACUUUAAGCGAGGAGGAGGCUCUUCUAGUUAAUACCUAGGAUGAGUGGACGUUACUCGCAGAAUAAGCACCGGCUAACUCUGUGCCAGCAGCCGCGGUAAUACAGAGGGUGCGAGCGUUAAUCGGAUUUACUGGGCGUAAAGCGUACGUAGGCGGCUUUUUAAGUCGGAUGUGAAAUCCCUGAGCUUAACUUAGGAAUUGCAUUCGAUACUGGGAAGCUAGAGUAUGGGAGAGGAUGGUAGAAUUCCAGGUGUAGCGGUGAAAUGCGUAGAGAUCUGGAGGAAUACCGAUGGCGAAGGCAGCCAUCUGGCCUAAUACUGACGCUGAGGUACGAAAGCAUGGGGAGCAAACAGGAUUAGAUACCCUGGUAGUCCAUGCCGUAAACGAUGUCUACUAGCCGUUGGGGCCUUUGAGGCUUUAGUGGCGCAGCUAACGCGAUAAGUAGACCGCCUGGGGAGUACGGUCGCAAGACUAAAACUCAAAUGAAUUGACGGGGGCCCGCACAAGCGGUGGAGCAUGUGGUUUAAUUCGAUGCAACGCGAAGAACCUUACCUGGUCUUGACAUAGUAAGAACUUUCCAGAGAUGGAUUGGUGCCUUCGGGAACUUACAUACAGGUGCUGCAUGGCUGUCGUCAGCUCGUGUCGUGAGAUGUUGGGUUAAGUCCCGCAACGAGCGCAACCCUUUUCCUUAUUUGCCAGCGGGUUAAGCCGGGAACUUUAAGGAUACUGCCAGUGACAAACUGGAGGAAGGCGGGGACGACGUCAAGUCAUCAUGGCCCUUACGACCAGGGCUACACACGUGCUACAAUGGUCGGUACAAAGGGUUGCUACUCCGCGAGGAGAUGCUAAUCUCAAAAAGCCGAUCGUAGUCCGGAUCGCAGUCUGCAACUCGACUGCGUGAAGUCGGAAUCGCUAGUAAUCGCGGAUCAGAAUGCCGCGGUGAAUACGUUCCCGGGCCUUGUACACACCGCCCGUCACACCAUGGGAGUUUGUGCACCAGAAGUAGGUAGUCUAACCGUAAGGAGACGCUACCACG
rnacentral:rRNA from 1 species